rnacentral:tRNA from 2 species
UGUCCCGUUGGUCAAGUGGUUAAGACACCGCCCUUUCACGGCGGUAACAUGGGUUCGAAUCCCGUACGGGACAU